UACGUAGGCAGCAAGCGUUGUUCGGAAUUACUGGGCGUAAAGAGUGUGUAGGCGGUGCUCUAAGUCUGUUGUGAAAUCUCCCGGCUUAACCGGGAGGGUGCGGCGGAAACUGGAGUGCUUGAGGGUGGGAGAGGUAAGCGGAAUUCCUGGUGUAGCGGUGAAAUGCGUAGAUAUCAGGAGGAACACCGAUGGCGAAGGCAGGUCUCUGGGCUGACACUGACGCUCAUGCACGAAAGCGUGGGGAGCAAACAGG
rnacentral:rRNA from 1 species